AUUGAACGCUGGCGGCAGGCCUAACACAUGCAAGUCGAGCGGUAGAGAGAAGCUUGCUUCUCUUGAGAGCGGCGGACGGGUGAGUAAUGCCUAGGAAUCUGCCUGAUAGUGGGGGAUAACGUCCGGAAACGGACGCUAAUACCGCAUACGUCCUACGGGAGAAAGGGGGGGCUCUUCGGACCUCACGCUAUCAGAUGAGCCUAGGUCGGAUUAGCUAGUUGGUGGGGUAAAGGCUCACCAAGGCGACGAUCCGUAACUGGUCUGAGAGGAUGAUCAGUCACACUGGAACUGAGACACGGUCCAGACUCCUACGGGAGGCAGCGGUGGGGAAUAUUGGACAAUGGGCGAAAGCCUGAUCCAGCCAUGCCGCGUGUGUGAAGAAGGUCUUCGGAUUGUAAAGCACUUUAAGUUGGGAGGAAGGGUCGUUACCUAAUACGUGGCGAUUUUGACGUUACCGACAGAAUAAGCACCGGCUAACUCUGUGCCAGCCGCCGCCGUAACAC
rnacentral:rRNA from 1 species